AUUGAACGCUGGCGGCAGGCCUAACACAUGCAAGUCGAACGGUAACAGGAAGAAGCUUGCUUCUUUGCUGACGAGUGGCGGACGGGUGAGUAAUGUCUGGGAAACUGCCUGAUGGAGGGGGAUAACUACUGGAAACGGUAGCUAAUACCGCAUAACGUCGCAAGACCAAAGAGGGGGACCUUCGGGCCUCUUGCCAUCGGAUGUGCCCAGAUGGGAUUAGCUAGUAGGUGGGGUAACGGCUCACCUAGGCGACGAUCCCUAGCUGGUCUGAGAGGAUGACCAGCCACACUGGAACUGAGACACGGUCCAAACUCCUACGGGAGGCAACAGUGGGGAAUAUUGCACAAUGGGCGCAAGCCUGAUGCAGCCAUGCCGCGUGUAUGAAGAAGGCCUUCGGGAUGUAAAGUACUUUCAGCGGGGAGGACGGGAGUAAAGUUAAUACCUUUGCUCAUUGACGUUACCCGCAGAAGAAGCACCGGCUAACUCCGUGCCAUCAGCCGCGGUAAUACCGAGGGUGCAAGCGUUAAUCUAAAUUACUGCGCGUAAAGGCGCACGCAGGCGGUUUGUUAAGUCAGAUGUGAAAUCCCCGGGCUCAACCUGGGAACUGCAUCUGAUACUGGCAAGCUUGAGUCUCGUAGAGGGGGGUAGAAUUCCAGGUGUAGCGGUGAAAUGCGUAGAGAUCUGGAGGAAUACCGGUGGCGAAGGCGGCCCCCUGGACGAAGACUGACGCUCAGGUGCGAAAGCGUGGGGAGCAAACAGGAUUAGAUACCCUGGUAGUCCACGCCGUAAACGAUGUCGACUUGGAGGUUGUGCCCUUGAGGCGUGGCUUCCGGAGCUAACGCGUUAAGUCGACCGCCUGGGGAGUACGGCCGCAAGGUUAAAACUCAAAUGAAUUGACGGGGGCCCGCACAAGCGGUGGAGCAUGUGGUUUAAUUCGAUGCAACGCGAAGAACCUUACCUGGUCUUGACAUCCACGGAAGUUUUCAGAGAUGAGAAUGUGCCUUCGGGAACCGUGAGACAGGUGCUGCAUGGCUGUCGUCAGCUCGUGUUGUGAAAUGUUGGGUUAAGUCCCGCAACGAGCGCAACCCUUAUCCUUUGUUGCCAGCGGUCCGGCCGGGAACUCAAAGGAGACUGCCAGUGAUAAACUGGAGGAAGGUGGGGAUGACGUCAAGUCAUCAUGGCCCUUACGACCAGGGCUACACACGUGCUACAAUGGCGCAUACAAAGAGAAGCGACCUCGCGAGAGCAAGCGGACCUCAUAAAGUGCGUCGUAGUCCGGAUUGGAGUCUGCAACUCGACUCCAUGAAGUCGGAAUCGCUAGUAAUCGUGGAUCAGAAUGCCACGGUGAAUACGUUCCCGGGCCU
rnacentral:rRNA from 1 species